GAAAAUCUCAGCAUUUUUUUUAAAGAAGAUGGAUUCUUGCAUUAGCUUAAACAUGUGCCUUUUUUUUUUUUUUUUUAACUAUACCAAUGUAAUUAGACAUAAACGUAGGGCUAAAAUUAAUUUGGAUUAGAUGGCGGUGGAACUAAAUUGAUAGGUAAAGUAGGGCUACCCACCGUCACCGGCUCACCCUCACCCACCGGCACGCCGCUUCAGGAAUUUGACCUUCAGGAACAGAUUCUUUGCUUCAGCAAAAAGGGUUCCAGGAUUUUUCCUGUCCAUUUUAGAUCUGUGUUCACUUUGAUAUUAAUCUGUUCAGUUAUGUUCGUCAUCCUCAGCCUCAGAUCGUUGUUCACAGAGCAAUUUCAUCGUAAUCAGCCUCAGAUCAGGGAUAUGGCUGAAUAUUUGAUGGUUGCUGGCAUUAAGAAACAAACUCUGACAGGGCAGAAAACGGGCGGUUAAGUUCUGGUUCAGAACUCCUUGGUAAGUAUGCUUUGCUUCACUCUAACAGCCAUCCCCACCAAUAUGUCGAAGUUAGCUAAAUCUUGGUAGCGUAAUUAUCAUUGCCUAUGAAGUUUGCUCCAUACGUGGAACCUUAAGGCCACCACACAUUCCUUACAUCAAAAUUAUAUACAUGGCCGCUUAUGGUAAGUAUGCUUUUCUUCACUCUAACAACCAUCCCCACCAAUAUGUCGAAGUUAGCUAAACCUUGGUAGUGUAAUUGUCAUUGCCUAUGAAGUUUGCUCCAUACGUGGAACCUUAAGGCCACCACACAUUCCUUACAUAAAAAAUAUAUACAUG